AUAGUCUUUACCAGUAUUCAGUCUCAAAAGGAAACAUCAGUUAUUUUUUUGCCACCUUUCAAAUGGGAACGUACACAAUUAUCUAUCCUUGGUUUCCAGUUUGUCAACUGCAGAUCAUAGGACCUGGAAAUCUCCAUAUUCAAAAGUAAUGUGACCCCUGACAUAAAAGUUAUCACUGGACGUUCCAUCUGUCCUAGUGUGUUGGGGAUAACAGAAGCUUAGUGGGAUUAAUCUUUACUGGAAAAUCCUACUGGUUUCCACCUCUUGAUCUACUGGCAGGAUACAACUUGGGAACAUCACAAUGGAAGAGACUCAUUGUGCAAAAUGCCCAUCUAUUUUCAGUUGAAAACUAAGGCUUUCAAAGCUAUGACUUGAGAAUAUAUUUUGGGAAUCAAAGACAGGCAUUUGACUCUUUUUGACUCUUCAUCUCAACUGUCCUCAAAGUACCCUGGGACUAUAUAUGAAGACUCCUGCUACUGCUUCUGAAUCCUUGGGGGAGGACAACACACAGGAAGAUAUGCACCCUAAACAGUGGCACCCAUGGGUGAUGGUUCAAGAUACAUUGGAAUGAUGCACAACUUUUUCUCCAGGUGGAUUGGAUUUUAGGUGGUUGUGAUUUGGGCAUAGUUCUGUUUUCUAAUUCUCAAUUUUCACAUCUUACUAGGUACUAUUUGUGUCUUCUCAUGGAGCAUUUGGCCCUAAGAGUUGACCAGUGAUAUCUGUGGUUAUCUAAGGCAAUCAGCUCCCCUUUAUCAUUUCCAUAAACCUUAGUGAGACCUAUGCGUUAUGAAGGGACUGAAGAGAGGGCUGGUAUGGGAGGCGGUACGAGAAAUGAAAAACACACAACCCAGCAGAGUGAGUUUUUAAAAGGAUACUUAUAAAAAGUGAUCAGUGCUCUAAAAAAAAAAAUGUAGCAUAUUCCCAAAGAGCUUGGGAAUAUUUACAAAAGAAAACGGUAUUGUACAGAAGCACAUUGUUAGCUAGAUGUUUGAGAAUAAACAAUAGCUUUCCAGAUAGAGAUAUGGGAAAAGAACAUUCUAGAAAUACAGGGCCAAAUUAUUCAUUGAGUAUACUGAGAGUCAGGCAGCUGAGUCAUUUCCUCAACUAAAUUGUAGUAGUGUUACGUAUUUAUGGAUAACUUAGUCUGGAAAUUAUCUAUAUAACUGCCAGUAAAGUGGAUAAAUGUACAGUUUUCAGAAAGGUUGAAAAUUCUUUUUCUGAAUUCUGAUCUGAAAAAGGCAUCUCGGAUGGUUAGGACCAUGGUGUUGUGCCUUUGUUCCCCCAUUUUCCCUAGAGCAAGUUCCUCCUAUCUCUCUUCUGUCUGCCCACAUUGGCUACGGGUCCCCUAUAAUGGGUAAAAGAACAUUCUCCCCACCAUGGCAUCUGGAAGUGGGACCCUGGAACAAUAUCACCAUGACCAAAUGGCCCUCAUGGACCACUGCUUUCAGGUUCCGCAACAUUUCAAUGGAUGCCCACCAAGCACGAGUGUGUCCAAAGGUUUUCUCGGGUAGCUGGAAUCCCACAGAAAUGAGGUUACAGAAAUGUUGUCUUGUUACUGGUGUUAAGGUGUCGUUAAGGACUCCAUCUGAUGUGGCAGAAUGAGGUAAGCCACAGAGACUUUGUGUCAAGGCUUUCUUCCUCAAACUCCAAUUAGGUGAUGUCAUUUUAACAAAAUAAAAUUUUCACAGGUAAGAUGAUGUAAUCGAUGACAUUAAACUUCAAUUGUGAUGACUAA